UGAAUUUUCAAGCAUCAAAUCCGUCAAAGGUAUUCAUUGUAUGUGUUGACGGGCAGCUGCAUACAAUUCUAACACGUCAGUCAUUCUCGUAGAUCCAUAGUCGGCAGCGAAGAGGGCAGCAGGUGAUACAACUUACUUGCAGACACUUUGAUUCUGAGUUCUGGUGAUUUUCAGAGAUAGGCUAGCAUAAUCAGAAAAGGCGGCCAUGUUGCCAAGAUGUCAGCAGCUAUUGAGGAUCACUGCUUGUUUAAGUGAUAGAGAACAUAUCAAGAUGCUUAGGAACUUGAAAUAGUGGAGGUUCCUAUCCAGCACUGGGAACUCUCACUGCCUGGCAGUGUGCGUGUGUGUGUGUGUCUGCAGCGGUGGGUUGUGACUCAGAACUAGCACCACUUCUGGGAGUCAGUCAAUGACAGCCUCCAGGGCUGGCUGGGAGUCUUACUUUGAUGGUACAGGCCAUCCUCACAGUCACCUUUUAAAUUCAGGA